UACGUAGGGUGCAAGCGUUGUCCGGAAUUAUUGGGCGUAAAGAGCUCGUAGGCGGUCUGUCACGUCGGCUGUGAAAUCCCGAGGCUCAACCUCGGGUCUGCAGUCGAUACGGGCAAACUAGAGUAUUGCAGGGGAGACUAGAAUUCCUGGUGUAGCGGUGAAAUGCGCAGAUAUCAGGAGGAACACCGGUGGCGAAGGCGGGUCUCUGGGCAAUAACUGACGCUGAGGAGCGAAAGCGUGGGGAGCGAACAGG
rnacentral:rRNA from 1 species